rnacentral:rRNA from 1 species
GACGAACGCUGGCGGCGUGCUUAACACAUGCAAGUCGAACGGAAAGGCCCUGCUUGCAGGGUAUUCUAGUGGCGAACGGGUGAGUAACACGCGUGUGUACUGCCCUCCACUCUGGGAUAAGCCUGGGGAACUGGGUCUAUAAUCGGAUAGGAGCCCUCCUUAGGGAGAUGGUUGGAAAGUUUUUUCGGUGUAGGAUGGGUGCGCGGGCUAUCUGUCUGUUGGUGGGGUAAUGGCCUACCAAGGCGGCGGCGGGUAGCCGGCCGGGGGGGGUGGACGGCCACAAUUGGACCUGGAUACGGGCCAGGCCCCUACGGGGGGCAACAGGGGGGAAUAUUGCACAAUGGGGGCAAGGCUGAUGCAGGGACGCCGCGGGGGGGAUGACGGGCUUCGGGUUGUAAACCCCUUUCGCUAGGGACGAAGCUUUUUGUGACGGUACCUAGAUAAGAAGCACCGGCUAACUACGUG